GAUUGGCCGUGGGGCGGGGCUCCAGGAGGAAAGAGGGCGAAGGGGUUUGGGGUUGCCGCCUCGUUUGUGCGUCGUGCGACCGGUGCUACCUUCCGGAAGGCUUUUUUCCCGUCUGGUUGUGCAUCCACCUCCCUCUUUCCCAGGGUCGGGAGCAUGUGGUCCGCUCUGAGCCACGGGUGUAACUCAGAGGACUUGAGACCUCGAGUUCUUCAGUCUCCAGCUGAGGAAGACGCAUUUCAGUUGAGACUAGUCACAUUUCCAGUGCUGUGAAGCAGGCCUUGGCCAGUGUGGCUGCAGGUGCCUGAGGAGUACAGAGUGGCAUAAGACGCAGCGGAAGAGACAGGAUCCAGUCCAGGACACUACAUUGCAUUAGUUGUUACAUCUCCAUAGUCUCCACUGGUUCAUGAUAGUUUCCCAGUCUUGUUUUUCAUGACCUUGAUGGUUUUGAGCAGUACUGAAUCAGGUGGAGGAGGAACACCCUGACAUUCAUCUCCCGGGGAAUGGUCUCUCUACCCUGAAUCCACGUGGUGAAGCACUAUAGAAGAUUCUCCCCAUGGAUCAGCUUCUCUCCAGUGCCAGACUCCUCAAAGAAAUGAUACCACCCAAAUCAUCUUGCAAACCACAUGGAAAAUCGAAAAGGAGAUGACUUUCUGCAUAAAAGCAAGAAAAUGGAAAAGACUGAGGCUCAUUAUAUACCUUGUUUCGGUGAUCUUUAAACAUGCAUCUUGUGCCUAUUGCUGAAGAAUGGACACCUUGAAGUGAUACUUCAUUUGAAGUGGUCAAAUGGCAGUGCAAUCAUGCUAUUUAUCAAAAGAAACACUGGACAAUCACAGUGGACUUCAGCGCUGUGUCCUGAGCCAUCAUCUGGCCAACUCUCGGCAAGAAACUUCUUUGUUCUUUAGAGACUGAGCUCUAUCCCCAAGCACUAACAGAAUCGAGAUGGAAGAAGUUGGAAUUCUUCAUCUUGGUGCUGUGACACAGUGAGGUUCCUGCUCCCAGGAAGCUGAACCCUGGCCUUGAGAUACAUGGUGGCCCUCUCAAGCUCCUCCUACUCACCCACAUCACCAUGCUUUGCGUCUCCAUCCAGAAUGUGUUCUUCGAGGACAGUAACUCCCACAGGCAAAGCAGCAUCUGGCUGUGUGGGUGAUCUAUUCUUCAGCCUCUCAAAGUUGU